rnacentral:tRNA from 1 species
GCCCGCAUAGCUCAGGCGGUAGAGCACUCCCUUGGUAAGGGAGAGGUCACUGGUUCGAUUCCAGUUGUGGGCACCA